GUAGGUGGCAAGCGUUGUCCGGGAAUUAUUGGGGCGUAAAGCGCGCGCAGGCGGUUCUUUAAGUCUGAUGUGAAAGCCCACGGGCUCAACCGUGGAGGGUCAUUGGAAACUGGAGAACUUGAGUACAGAAGAGGAAAGCGGAAUUCCACGUGUAGCGGUGAAAUGCGUAGAGAUGUGGAGGAACACCAGUGGCGAAGGCGGCUUUCUGGUCUGUAACUGACGCUGAGGCGCGAAAGCGUGGGGAGCAAACAGGAUUAGAUACCCUGGUAGUCCACGCCGUAGACGAUGAGUGCUAAGUGUUAGGGGGUUUCCGCCCCUUAGUGCUGCAGCUAACGCAUUAAGCACUCCGCCUGGGGAGUACGGCCGCAAAGGCUG
rnacentral:rRNA from 1 species